GACGAACGCUGGCGGCGUGCUUAACACAUGCAAGUCGAACGGAAAGGCCCUGCUUUUGUGGGGUGCUCGAGUGGCGAACGGGUGAGUAACACGUGAAUAACCUGCCCUUGACUUUGGGAUAACUUCAGGAAACUGGGGCUAAUACCGGAUAGGAGCUCCUGCUGCAUGGUGGGGGUUGGAAAGUUUCGGCGGUUGGGGAUGGACUCGCGGCUUAUCAGCUUGUUGGUGGGGUAGUGGCUUACCAAGGCUUUGACGGGUAGCCGGCCUGAGAGGGUGACCGGCCACAUUGGGACUGAGAUACGGCCCAGACUCCUACGGGAGGCAGCAGUGGGGAAUAUUGCACAAUGGGCGGAAGCCAGAUGCAGCAACGCCGCGUGCGGGAUGACGGCCUUCGGGUUGUAAACCGCUUUCGCCUGUGACGAAGCGUGAGUGACGGUAAUGGGUAAAGAAGCACCGGCUAACUACGUG
rnacentral:rRNA from 1 species